GUGGGACUUGUUUUGUACAUGCUUACUCAUUUUUUAUUGUCUUCUUCUGAAUUCUCUAAUUUGUUUUCAUUUUUCAAAGAUGGUGCUUAAGACAGCAUGGGACUCCAACUGGUGCUUAAUACUGGAAAGCUGCAAUGAAGUCUUCUCAGAGCUUUCUCUUCUCCAGGCUGAACAAGCUCCACACCCUCAACCUGCCUUUCCAGGAGAAGUGCAGCAGCUCUCUUAUCAUCUUUGUAACCCUCCUCUGGACUCUCUCCAACAGCUCCACAUCUUUCCUGUACUGGCUGCAGUACUCUGGAUGGGGCCUCAGGAGGGGAGAAUAGAGAGGUACAGUCUCUUCCCUGUCCUUGCUGGCCACCCCUCAUCUGAUGGUGCCCAGGAUACAAUUGGCUUUCCAAGCUGCACACUGCUGGCUCAUGUUCAGUUU